AUAAUAUUUAAUUUUUUUCCUGGAAUUAACGGAUAACCAAAAUAUAAGACAUCUCUGCAUUAAUUCCUGUGAAAUUUUGGCUGAAGAUUUUGGAAAACCCAAAUGGAGAGUAGAACAUUCUGAAAUGGUCAGACUGCUGUUAAUUCUGCAGUCUAUCAACAUGAACACAGAGAGUAUUUAGCUGUACAGUGUGGAAUAAAGAUGCUGAUCUUGCAAGAAAAUUCCCCUCUGAAAUAUUUUUGCAGCUUAUACACAAAUCUAAUAUGAGUACUCUACCAAUCCCAGUUGUGUAGUAGAAGUGAAUGAGCAUGGGAGGUCAAAGUUAAAGAGCUAACCUAC